rnacentral:rRNA from 1 species
AACGAACGCUGGCGGCAUGCCUAACACAUGCAAGUCGAACGAGACCUUCGGGUCUAGUGGCGCACGGGUGCGUAACGCGUGGGAAUCUGUCCUUCGGUUGGGAAUAACUGAGAGAAAUUUCAGCUAAUACCUUAUAAUGUCUUCGGACCAAAGAUUUAUCGCCGAGGGAUGAGCCCGCGUAGGAUUAGGUAGUUGGUGGGGUAAUGGCCUACCAAGCCGACGAUCCUUAGCUGGUCUGAGAGGAUGAUCAGCCACACUGGGACUGAGACACGGCCCAGACUCCUACGGGAGGCAGCAGUGGGGAAUAUUGGACAAUGGGCGAAAGCCUGAUCCAGCAAUGCCGCGUGAGUGAUGAAGGCCUUAGGGUUGUAAAGCUCUUUUACCCGGGAUGAUAAUGACAGUACCGGGAGAAUAAGCUCCGGCUAACUCCGUG